CCUACGGGCGGCAGCAGUAGGGAAUAUUGCUCAAUGGGGGAAACCCUGAUGCAGCAACGCCGCGUGAGGGAUGAAGGUUUUCGGAUUGUAAACCCCUUUUGUUAGGGAAGAUAAUGACGGUAUCUAACGAAUAAGCUCCGGCUAACUCCGUGCCAGCAGCCGCGGUAAUACGGAGGGUGCAAGCGUUACUCGGAAUCACUGGGCGUAAAGCGCGCGUAGACGGGAUAGCAAGUCAGGUGUGAAAUGCUAUGGCUUAACCAUAGAACUGCAUUGGAAACUGUUAUUCUAGAGUAUGGGAGAGGUAGGUGGAAUUCGUGGUGUAGGGGUAAAAUCCGUAGAGAUCAAGAGGAAUACUCAUUGCGAAGGCGACCUGCUAGAACAUAACUGACGCUGAUGCGCGAAAGCGUGGGGAGCAAACAGGAUUAGAUACCCCAGUAGUC
rnacentral:rRNA from 1 species